GACGAACGCUGGCGGCGUGCUUAACACAUGCAAGUCGAACGGAAAGGCCCUGCUUUUGUGGGGUGCUCGAGUGGCGAACGGGUGAGUAACACGUGAGUAACCUGCCCUUGACUUUGGGAUAACUUCAGGAAACUGGGGCUAAUACCGGAUAGGAGCUCCUGCUGCAUGGUGGGGGUUGGAAAGUUUCGGCGGUUGGGGAUGGACUCGCGGCUUAUCAGCUUAUUGGUGGGGUAGUGGCUUACCAAGGCUUUGACGGGUAGCCGGCCUGAGAGGGUGACCGGCCACAUUGGGACUGAGAUACGGCCCAGACUCCUACGGGAGGCAGCAGUGGGGAAUAUUGCACAAUGGGCGGAAGCCUGAUGCAGCAACGCCGCGUGCGGGAUGACGGCCUUCGGGUUGUAAACCGCUUUCGCCUGUGACGAAGCGUGAGUGACGGUAAUGGGUAAAGAAGCACCGGCUAACUACGUG
rnacentral:rRNA from 1 species